AAAGAUCGAAUGGGGAGAUUCAUCGUCAGCGACGCUGGCUACGCGGUGGCUCGUGAUGUCGUGGGAUCUCGGUCCCGCGAUACGCGUCGCCGCGUUGCGUCCGGUGGCGUCGGCGUGCACUUCUCCCCUAGUAGGACGUCGCGACCCGUUGGGUGCCGAUCUAGGGCCCGGGUGGGCGUCUGUCGCGUCGCUUCGGCGCACGCGGCAAACCCCCGGUCGCCUGUUGUAUCGGCUGCUCGGCGGUACUCCCAUGGUAUCGGGCCGCAAGUCACUCGAACUGCGUCGGGCCCGCCGCAAGCGCGGUCAGCGUCUCGCGGAGGUACGGAACUAUACGCCGUCCCCGUGCCUGGCCAGCUGUUGGCAGGCGGUGUCCUCUGACAGGCCAAGAACUUCGAAAGUGUGAUACCGGUCGGCGACGCUACUGCUUUGGGUAAUCUCAGGACCCGUCUUGAAACACGGACCAAGGAGUCUAACAUGUGCGCGAGUCAUUGGGACCGCAUGCCUAAAGGCGAAAUGAAAGUGAAGGUCGGCCCUAGCGCCGACCGAGGGAGGAUGGGCCGCGUCGCGAUGCGGCUUCGCACUCCCGGGGCGUCUCGUUCUCAUC
rnacentral:rRNA from 1 species